rnacentral:rRNA from 1 species
CUUCUUAGAGGGACACGCGGAAGAAGCCGCACGAAAUAGAGCAAUAACAGGUCUGUGAUGCCCUUAGAUGUCCGGGGCCGCACGCGCGCUACAAUGGCGGUGUCAACGAGUCAGACCUUCUGGCCUGAAAAGGUUGGGUAAACUGGUCAAUCACCGUCAUGACAGGGAUCGGGGCUUGGAAUUAUUCCCCGUGAACGAGGAAUUCCUAGUAAGUGCAAGUCAUAAGCUUGCGCUGAUUACGUCCCUGCCCUUUGUACACACCGCCCGUCGCUACUACCGAUUGAAUGGUUUAGUAAGGUCCUUGGAUCGGCGCCAUCUUGGUGCCCCGGAAGGUGGCUACCUGGCCGGUGCUGAGAAGACGACCAAACUUGAUCAUUUAGAGGAAGUAAAAGU